CGUUGAAACACUGGUUCUCGUACAAUCAUCGAAGUUAAGCAACGCCAAACCUGGUCAGUACCUAUAUGGGUGACCGCUUGGGAAUACCAGGUGUUGUAAG